rnacentral:tRNA from 1 species
CGUUCUGUAGCUUAGUUGGUUGAAGCGCCGGUCUAGCGUACACGGAGUCGUGAGUUCGAGUCUCACUAGAACGC